GGGGGACACACUGCGAAUAAAUCGAGCCUACAUCCACGGAAUAGUAUGCCCUUUCUUUCGGGAUCCAUGGUGGAGUAGCCGUUUAAAGGGAACUCAGUUCGCGCGACGAUAUGAUAGUUUUCAAUGUUUUAGAUAUUUAUCGCCUUGUGCCCAUCACUUUUGCUACUCACUUUUACACAUCACUUGAAUAAAAUAUUAGUGAAGUGAAGGCAUAUACAAUGUCGCGACAUACAAUCAAAAGUGAUAAAACUAAAUUAAUUUCAAACAACAAAGGGCGCAGUAAUGUGUGGCAAACAUUCGAUUUAAUCGAGUUCAACAAUAAAAUAGUUGAAUUUGUAUGCUGCCGCGAAUGCAAGAACGUAAUUGCAUAUGCAUCUAGGCAUGGAACGGGCAAUUGAAAUUGUGUUUUGGUGAUAAAUGAAAAUGCCAACCAACCCAGAAUCAAUUCGCUUCCAUUAUUUGCCAAAAAAAAUUCUGGAGAGAAAACAGCUCGCAUUGGUUGGAAAAGAUCUACAUUCGUUUUCCGUAACUAAAGGCAAUGGCGUUCGCGACUAUUGCCAAGAGCUUUUGGAUAUUGGAUCAGUGUAUGGCAAACAGGACUUCGCUGAUUUAGUCACAUCGCGCAAAACGUUGUCAUCUACAAUUAUGAGCCGAGAGUAUGAAAGCCUAAAAAGUGAAGUGCGGUCCAAAAUAAAAGGUCAACAGUUGGCAUUUACAAAAGAUAUGUGGACGGACGACUACACGCAAAGAAACUUCAUUUCGCUGACGGCUCACUACGUGGAUGAGUCAUUUAAAGAUUAAAGAGUUCACAGAUGAUAAGAAGACAGACGAGAAUAUCCUCAAUAUCGUUAAGGAAAUUUUGGUAGAGUACAGUUUGGAUUCUAAAAUCGUAUUUUUGUUACGGACAAUGGGGCAAAUGUGGUAGCUGCAUUUAAAAGCUACAAAAGAUUAUCGUGUGCAUGCCACAAUUUAAACCUGGCUAUGGAUGGCAUAUUUGAAAAAAAUCCUCUUUCUCCAAUUAAGUCCUUAAUAGAAUGUUGCAAAAAUCUUGUUAAAUAUUUUAAACAUUCCCAUUUGAAUAACAAACUGUUUAAGACCUUAAAGCAAGAAAUACGUACGCGUUGGAACUCGGUGUUUAUUAUGUUAGACAGCAUUAAACCAGUAAAAGAAGAAAUAAAAGUAAUUUUAUUAGAAAGAGAUGAGCUCAAUCGAAUAUCCGGACUAGAUUUAUCAUUGCUCGAAAGCUUACUGCAUUUUUUAAAACCGUUUAAUGAUUGUUCGGAGGAACUAAGUGCCGAUACGGAACCUACCAUGCACACUUUUUGUUUGUGAUCGGAGAUAUUAUUUAAGGUGUGCGCCACUAAAAUGCUCGAUUGUGAAAUCAUAAUGCAGCUAAAAAAUAAUACGUUAAAUACUUUAAAUAAAAGAUUUGCACCAUCAACGCA